rnacentral:misc_RNA from 1 species
UCUCUCUCUCUCUCUCUCUCAUAUGCGGAUAUGACUCUUUCUCUUUCCCCCCUCCCCAUUUGCAUGCUUACUUCUUCACAUCCUGUGCAGACAUGUUCCCACAGGUACACAUGCACUAAAUUAAUUUUCUUAGCUAUGAUUUUGGUUCUGUAUUCCUGGCAGAAUUCCAUACUUUGUGUUGUUAUUUACUUAUAAUACUUAAUGUAGAAUACUCUUGUAAAUUUGGCGAGCAUUGGCUUCAUUCCGGUUUGCUUAUUUUGUUUGGUGCAAACUGAAUGGAGGCAUAAAAAGGUAAUUAGUAUAAUGAGUUAGUGUGAGCCUGAUAGAGGAUUAAAAGUAGGUUUCACAAUUUUAUUAGACAAAUUGCAAUCUAUGUGUAUAGAUUCUGAGCGACCACUGAAGAAAUUGUUGUAAAAUUAAAAUGGCUAUAUAUUUUUUUAUUUGGGAUUUGAGUUAAGAAGACUGACUAUUUUUGUCUGUGAUGUGAGGAGCAAACUGUUUUUGCAGCUUCAAUUAGGCAGCAAUUUUUAUUGUUGCCUGAAGUGUAAUGUUUCUGAAAUUUUUCUCGGACUUGUCUGUGUGUGUGAAAUAAUUUCCUAGUGCUUUGUUAUACGAGGAAAAGACCUGUUAAAGGGAGCUGUGGCUUUCAGGUGAGGGACUGGGGAGCUCGAG